rnacentral:rRNA from 1 species
CCUACGGGGGGCAGCAGUGAGGAAUAUUGGUCAAUGGACGAGAGUCUGAACCAGCCAAGUAGCGUGAAGGAUGACUGCUCUAUGGGUUGUAAACUUCUUUUAUAUGGGAAUAAAACGUUCCACGUGUGGGAUUUUGUAUGUACCAUAUGAAUAAGGAUCGGCUAACUCCGUGCCAGCAGCCGCGGUAAUUCGGAGGAACCGAGCGUUAUCCGGAUUUAUUGGGUUUAAAGGGAGCGUAGGUGGAUUGGUAAGUCAGUUGUGAAAGUUUGCGGCUCAACCGUGAAAUUGCAGUUGAAACUGGCAGUCUUGAGUACAGUAGAGGUAGGCGGAAUUCGGGGUGUAGCGGUGAAAUGCUUAGAUAUCACGAAGAACACCGGUUGCGAAGGCAGUUCACUGGACUGCAACUGACACUGAGGCGCGAAAGUGUGGGUAUCAAACAGGAUUAGAUACCCGAGUAGUC